rnacentral:rRNA from 1 species
UACGUAGGGGGCAAGCGUUGUCCGGAUUUAUUGGGCGUAAAGAGCGUGUAGGCGGCCAGGUAGGUCAGCUGUGAAAACUCGAGGCUCAACCUCGAGCUGUCGGCUGAAACCAUCUGGCUAGAGUCCGGAAGAGGAGAAUGGAAUUCCCGGUGUAGCGGUGAAAUGCGCAGAUAUCGGGAAGAACACCCGUGGCGAAGGCGGUUCUCUGGGACGGUACUGACGCUGAGACGCGAAAGUGUGGGGAGCGAACAGG